CUAGCCGUAAACGAUGGAUACUAGGUGUAGCUGGUAUUGACCCCAGCUGUGCCGAAGCUAACGCGUUAAGUAUCCCGCCUGGGGACUACGACCGCAAGGUUAAAACUCAAAGGAAUUGACGGGGGCCCGCACAAGCAGCGGAGCGUGUGGUUUAAUUCGAUGCAACACGAAGAACCUUACCAGGGCUUGACAUGCUGGUGGUAGCGAAGCGAAAGCAUAGCGACCCUUCGGGGAGCCAGCACAGGUGC
rnacentral:rRNA from 1 species